GGCGAAGCGGCAGGGGUGGCACUCCAGUCUUCCAAACUGGUGGUGCGGGUUCGAUUCCCGUCAUCCCCU
rnacentral:tRNA from 1 species